UAAAUGCAUGAUGUGGUUAAUUAUUGUCCAUUUUAAUAUUAUGUGUUUACUAUAUGUGAGUUAAAUUAAAUAUUGAUAGGGGCCAACAUAAUUGGUCCAGGAUGGAUCCUUAGUAUGCCACAAUGCGAUAUACAAGUUAAAGUUAUGGUUGCAACUUGCAACCAAUCGUCAGGGGCCAGCAUAAUUGGUCCAGGAUGUGAAAGAUCCUUGGUAUGCCACCGUGCGACUUACAGUUAUGAAUGUUACAGUGGAUCAUAUGUGUUUCUAUUUUAUUAACGUGGGCAAUGAUUGUAUGUUCCCACACUGAGUGUACUCUGUAUGCUCAUCCCCCAUUUAACAUUUUCAGGUUUUAAACAAGGGAGGCGCGUGGA
rnacentral:lncRNA from 1 species